rnacentral:lncRNA from 1 species
CAUGAAGGGAACAGGCAGCUGAUAAUAACUCAGGAUGCUGCUUUGCUCAGGAGCCCUGAUGGACAGAUUCCAGACUCGCUCAGGACCUAUGAGCAGGUGUCUGACGUGGGUCUGUUCCUGUUUAACGACGCUUUGGUGCUGACGCGGCGAAAUGUACAUCACACGCCGUUCACGUUGGCUCACCAGAGCACACACACUUUCCUGGCCUCUGUGGCUCUCGCCAGCCUCGCUGUCAGAGAGAUCACACAUACACACUAUGUGUGCCAUGCCUUUGUCCUGGAGGGUCCUUGUCGUUCCUGGGUUUG